rnacentral:sRNA from 1 species
UAAUCUACCCCAGUAUGGUAGAAUGGCGC